GAGUCGGCUAGCUGCGUCUGACGUAGAACACAGCCAUUUCUGUAUUCAGCGUUGUGCACGUUUCAGUACUUAGCGUCGCGUGCUGUGAAAAAGAAAACAAUCUAAAAUUUGUGAAGAUUUGUGAUGCUUCAUCAGCUAAGAAAGUUUGUUUAGAACAAUUCUGCAUCCUGUCCAUCACUGCACUCCUGAGGGUUGCCAUUUAUUCUGUCCGUUUAAGCGGACCUGCAAUCAUCCAGACGCUCUGAACAACCAGGAUCAUCAUAAGAUCCUUUCCUGUCGUGCGUUUCGCUCGUGAGACUGCUUUUGUUGUUAUAAAGGAUAAACCAACAUGAAGACCAGAGAGCUGUCUAUGGGAGAAAAGAAAGACAUUGUGAAGCUGAAAGAAGAGGGGAAAACGAUCAGGGCCAUUUCAAAGGCAUUGGGCAUAGCCACUACAACAGUUUGGAAUGUCCUGAAAAAGCAAGAAACCACCGGGUUACUAACGACCAAACAUCGAACUGGUCGGCCGAGGAAAACAACUGCAGCCGAGGACAAAGAAAUUGAGAGAGCGGUGCAGGAAAACCCACAAAUAACAGUCAGUCACAUCACCAACAAUCUCCACAUGCAAGGGGUGAAGGUAUCGGAAGGCACCGUUCGACGAAGACUUCGGGAGCAGAAAUAUCGAUACCAUUACAUAAGUCUUGAACCACCCGUCAGCACUGACACGGAUGGAUUGGAGUGCGCAGAGGAUACAGAGAUGAGCGAUGUAAAACAAGAGCAGUGUGAUGAAUUGUGUUUGCAGACAGAAUGUGUCGAUGAUAACAUCUCAAGUGAUGACAGGUCAAACAAGGACAUGAAAUGCGAAGAAACAGAAGGUGAAGCUUCUGUAGAGCUUCCAGGUGUAGCUAGCUAACUGACAUACGGACGCUGUGUACAUCGGGUUUAUUGACUUAUGUCUACUUGAAACUAUGUUUAUAUCAUCCAUCAUUCUAGUAUGGCAUUAAAGUUCAUUGUUUAAUCUGU